GUAAAAAAUCAAGUGCGAAAAAAUUUGUUGUCAGAUUUGGAAAAAACAGAAUUAAAGGCAGAAGGGGGAAUGGAAGAAGAGCCUAUAUAUGAGGACAUGGCAACCGAGGAACAGCCGCAGGAUAGCGAUGUUGAAAACUAACCGAUAGACCCCGAGUUGUGGAAAGAUGGCGAUAUUGUUACGAUAACCAAGCCUGGGCCAUACAAGAUUACUGCUUUGGUGUGUAACAAACUGCCAACAGUUGCAGAGACAGAAAUAUCCAAG